AGAGUUUGAUCAUGGCUCAGGAUGAACGCUAGCGGCAGGCCUAAUACAUGCAAGCCGAGGGGCAGCACAGUUUUCGGACUGGUGGCGACCGGCAGACGGGUGCGUAACGCGUAUGCAACCUACCCGCCACAGGGGGAUAGCCCGGGGAAACCCGGAUUAAUACCCCAUAAAACAGGGGCAUCACAUGGUGCUAUUUGUUAAAGUUGCGAUGGUGGCGGAUGGGCAUGCGUCUGAUUAGCUAGUUGGUAGUGUAACGGACUACCAAGGCGACGAUCAGUAGGGGACCUGAGAGGGUGAUCCCCCACACUGGUACUGAGAUACGGACCAGACUCCUACGGGAGGCAGCAGUAGGGAAUAUUGGGCAAUGGGUGAGAGCCUGACCCAGCCAUGCCGCGUGCAGGAAGAAGGCGUUCUGCGUUGUAAACUGCUUUUGAUCGGGAAGAAAGCGUCUUUGCGAAGACAGUUGACGGUACCGAUAGAAUAAGCACCGGCUAACUCCGUGCCAGCAGCCGCGGUAAUACGGAGGGUGCAAGCGUUGUUCGGAUUUAUUGGGUUUAAAGGGUGCGUAGGCGGAUUGAUAAGUCAGUGGUGAAAGGCAGCGGCUCAACCGUUGAGUUGCCAUUGAUACUGUCAGUCUUGAGUGCACUAGAGGUAAGUGGAAUUUAUGGUAGCGGUGAAAUGCAUAGAUACCAUAAAGAACACCAAUAGCGAAGGCAGCUUACUAGAGUGUAACUGACGCUGAGGCACGAAAGCGUGGGGAGCGAACAGGAUUAGAUACCCUAGUAGUCC
rnacentral:rRNA from 1 species